rnacentral:rRNA from 1 species
ACGCUCGACACCUACGGGGGCAGCAGUAGGGAAUCUUCCACAAUGGACGCAAGUCUGAUGGAGCAACGCCGCGUGAGUGAAGAAGGUCUUCGGAUCGUAAAACUCUGUUGUUAGAGAAGAACACGAGUGAGAGUAACUGUUCAUUCGAUGACGGUAUCUAACCAGCAAGUCACGGCUAACUACGUGCCAGCAGCCGUGGUAAUCUGAGCGGGCUGGCAAGGC